CCUACGGGCGGCAGCAGUGGGGGAUAUUGGACAAUGGGGGAAACCCUGAUCCAGCGACGCCGCGUGAGUGAAGAAGUAUUUCGGUAUGUAAAGCUCUAUCAGCAGGGAAGAAAGAAAUGACGGUACCUGAUUAAGAAGCCCCGGCUAACUACGUGCCAGCAGCCGCGGUAAUACGUAGGGGGCAAGCGUUAACCGGAAUUACUGGGUGUAAAGGGAGCGUAGACGGUAAUGCAAGUCUGGAGUGAAAGGCGGGGGCCCACCCACGGGACUGCUCUGGACACUAUGUAACUGGAGUGCAGGAGAGGAAGGCUGAAUUCCUAGUGUAGCGGUGAAAUGCGUAGAUAUUAGGAGGAACACCAGUGGCGAAGGCGGCCUGCUGGACUGUAACUGACGUUGAGGCUCGAAAGCGUGGGGAGCAAACAGGAUUAGAUACCCUGGUAGUC
rnacentral:rRNA from 1 species